rnacentral:pre_miRNA from 1 species
ACUUCUUAGUGAUAGUGGUCAAUUACAUCAUAUACUCCCUCCGUCCGAAAAAGUUUGUCCCAAGCUUGUUCCUCAAAUGGAUGUAUCUAGCACUAACUUGAUGCUACAUACAUUCAUUUGAGGGACACGCUUUUUCGGAUGGAGGGAGUAGUAAUUUUGAUAUACACACUGAAGUUGCUA